UACGGAGGGUGCGAGCGUUAAUCGGAAUUACUGGGCGUAAAGCGCACGUAGGCGGUCAGGCAAGUCGGGUGUGAAAGCCCUGGGCUCAACCUGGGAAUUGCAUUCGAAACUAUCUGACUCGAGUAUGGGAGAGGGAAGCGGAAUUUCCGGUGUAGCGGUAAAAUGCGUAGAUAUCGGAAGGAACACCAGUGGCGAAGGCGGCUUCCUGGACUAAUACUGACGCUGAGGUGCGAAAGCGUGGGGAGCAAACAGG
rnacentral:rRNA from 1 species